GACGAACGCUGGCGGCGUGGAUUAGGCAUGCAAGUCGAACGGUAUCAUCCUUUCGGGGGUGAGAGAGUGGCGAACUGGUGAGUAACACGUAGGUUAUCUACCCUCAAGACGGGGACAACCCAGGGAAACUUGGGCUAAUACCGGAUGUGAGCAACUUUUAGUUGUUUGAAAGGUGGCGUAAGCUGUCGCUUGGGGAUGAGCCUGCGUCCUAUUAGUUAGUUGGUGAGGUAACGGCUCACCUAGGCAAUGAUAGGUAGGCGGCCUUAACGGGUGGUCGCCCACACUGGGAUUGAGAUACGGCCCAGACUCCUACGGGAGGCAGCAGUCGAGAAUAGUCUACAAUGGUCGGAAGACUGAUAGUGCGACGCCGCGUGAACGAUGAAUCCCUUCGGGUGUAAAGUUCUUUUAUAUGUGAGCAGUGCUUCUUAUAUUAACAGUAUGGGGAAGAGAUAUUAGCAUAUGAAUAAGCAACGGCUAACUCCGUGCCAGCAGCCGCGGUAAUCU
rnacentral:rRNA from 1 species